GCAGUGUUCUGUGUUGUUGGAAUCCCCAGACCCUUCAGUAAAGCUCAGUUCCUGGCAGAACUGCUGCCGGAAGCCCAGAUGAUUUACUCUGGGGGAUGCAAGUUACCAUACCUUGUCACAAGGACUAAGGCAGCCCUAUGGAGAAAACUCCAGGCCUCCCACUGAUACCCAUCACAGACCUGCCAUCUCUGAAUGUGCCACCUUCACACAAGACCCUCCAGCUGCAAGCAAGCCUUCCAGAUAACUGCAGCCCCAUCUGACAUCUGGCCUGAACCUCUGAGAAAGCAUGAGUCAGAACCACACCCAAGUUCCUCAUCCAAAGAGACUAUGGGAAAUAAGAUCUGUCUGUUGUUUUAAACCACUUAGUGUUGGGAUAAUAUAUACUUAGAAAUAGAUCAUGAAUAAGCCCCAUUUCUGCUAUCAUUUUCUGUUAUGCCCCUUUUCAUGUCGGCUUAGUCUCUAAGCAUACUUCCCUCAUUGGGGUGAAAUGGUUGUAUUAGUUUCAGGUCCAACAAA
rnacentral:lncRNA from 1 species